AGGAGAACAACCCCAGUGGCUGAGGCAGCUCUGGAGCCUGGAGUCAGCUCCCGCAGUAGCUCCUGAGCUCUCUGUCUGCAGGACUUGGAGGCUCCGGGGCGGG
rnacentral:pre_miRNA from 1 species